CAAAGCGGGAGCCUAAUAGGCAUGGAAGAGCUCUGGAUUUUUCCUGACUAUGAAGAGACUUUUUUAUGCUAGAGAAAUGGAACAAAGCAAUACUUCAUGGUUAAGAAAUGGAUGUGAGCCAGCAGUCAGUACCCUAAGGUGAAAAGCCAGAUCUGCCAAGCAACUCUUCAAUUUCCAAACAGGAGUCUACCAAUCCCAAACAAAGAAUAAAUGAAAAAAAAAAAGUGCA
rnacentral:lncRNA from 1 species